UUAUUUUGAUCCCUGGCUCAGAUUGAACGCUGGCGGCAUGCCUUACACAUGCAAGUCGAACGGUAACAGGUCUUCGGAUGCUGACGAGUGGCGAACGGGUGAGUAAUGCAUCGGAACGUGCCCAGUCGUGGGGGAUAACUGCUCGAAAGAGCAGCUAAUACCGCAUACGACCUGAGGGUGAAAGCGGGGGACCGUAAGGCCUCGCGCGAUUGGAGCGGCCGAUGUCAGAUUAGGUAGUUGGUGGGGUAAAGGCUCACCAAGCCAACGAUCUGUAGCUGGUCUGAGAGGACGACCAGCCACACUGGGACUGAGACACGGCCCAGACUCCUACGGGAGGCAGCAGUGGGGAAUUUUGGACAAUGGGCGCAAGCCUGAUCCAGCCAUGCCGCGUGCGGGAAGAAGGCCUUCGGGUUGUAAACCGCUUUUGUCAGGGAAGAAAAGGCUCCUGCUAAUACCGGGGGUUCAUGACGGUACCUGAAGAAUAAGCACCGGCUAACUACGUGCCAGCAGCCGCGGUAAUACGUAGGGUGCAAGCGUUAAUCGGAAUUACUGGGCGUAAAGCGUGCGCAGGCGGUUAUGCAAGACAGAGGUGAAAUCCCCGGGCUCAACCUGGGAACUGCCUUUGUGACUGCAUAGCUAGAGUACGGCAGAGGGGGAUGGAAUUCCACGUGUAGCAGUGAAAUGCGUAGAUAUGUGGAGGAACACCGAUGGCGAAGGCAAUCCCCUGGGCCUGUACUGACGCUCAGCACGAAAUUGCUUAAUUGGG
rnacentral:rRNA from 1 species